UAUUAGAGGAUGUCAGAGCCAUACUUAGUUAGUUAGUCCGCGAAUUAUUCAUAAAUUAUUUUUAAAUUAUUAAAAAUUCGAAUAAAAUCGUCUGCAUACGAUUUAUUUCUAAAACAUUAGAAUAAAAUAUAAAUUUUUUGGUUAGAUUUAUUAUUCACAAAUAAUUCGCAUAGGCAGAAUUAUUCGGCCAAAAAAAUGCACAAAAUUUCUAGAUAAUAUCUCUUUCCGAAUUAUUUUUGAAUUAUUGCCGAAUUAUUCACGAAUUAUUGAAAAACUUAUGAACUUGUGGAAUAUGUGGACCAUGAAAAAAAAGUGAUGAUAGAGACGACAAUAAAUUUUACUAUUAUUUUUUUUACUUAAUCUACUUUAUUUUAUAGUUUUUUGAAUUUAUAACUAUUUAUGCUAGUAGCAUAAAUUUAGAGAAAAAAAAGCAUAGUUUAAUAGCCGAAUUUUUUAUCCCGAAUUUUUAAUUGGUGAGCGUAUAAUUUUCGUAUAAAUCAUGUAUCUCUAUAAUUAGAGAUUCCGUUUAUUAAGUCGUAUUUUUCAACGAAUUUAAAAUUAAAGAUACAAAUCUUAUUCCAAUUAUACCCAUAUCGAAUUUUUGCCGAAUCCAAAUUAACUAUGGUAAGAGUAGGGGUGGAAACGAGCCGAGCUCAAGCGAGCUUAUUUCGGCUCAAAUUCGGCUUGAAAUUAAUUUCGAGCCUAAAUUUAAGCUCAAGCUUGGAUUGAAAUAAAUUAGAGCCGAGCUCGAGCGAGCCUAAUUUCAAGUCGAGCGAGCUCGAGCCCUAAACGAGCCGCUUGAAAUUCUCAAUAUUAUACGAUCAAUAGUUUAAUUUGUAUAGAACAUUAUCUAUAAUUUGAUACAAAAAUAUGUCUAAUAGUUCAAAGUACAAAAUAAUUAUAUGAAAUAUAGUAUUAUAAUAUGAAAAAAAAUAAUUUAUGAGUUGAAUAUCUAAUUUUUUCAGCCUCUUAUGUAUUUUCUUCUGCCUGCAAUCUCUAUAUUAUUCAUUUUCAUUUAUGCAGUCAAAAAUAAAUAAAUUAUAUAAAUAAAUAUUGGAUUAAACUAUCCAAUCAUAUAUAACUAAAAUUAAAAUUUUAUAUGAAUAAUAAUUUUUUACUUUAAAAAUAUUAU
rnacentral:lncRNA from 1 species